rnacentral:lncRNA from 10 species
CAUGUUCUCACUCAUAGGUGGGAACUGAACAAUGAGAACACAUGGACACAGGGUGGGGAACAUGCAUCAAUGAACAAAUAGAAGCUUGCUUAAAAUGUAUAGAUAAUGUAGUUUGUAAGUACUGAAUUUUUUUUUUUUUUUCUUUGUGAGACAGAGUUUCGCUCUGAGUGCAGGCUAGAGUGCAGUGGCAUGAUCUCGGCUCACUGCAAGCUCUGCCUCCCAGGUUCAUGCCAUUCUCCUGCCUCAGCCUCCCGAAUAUCUGGGACUACAGGUGUCCACCACUAUGCCUGACUAAUUUUUUGUAUUUUUAGUAGAGACAGGGUUUCACCGUGUUAGCCAGAAUGGUCUCGAUUUCCUGACCUCGUGAUCCACCCACCUCGGACUCCCAAAGUGCUGAGAUUACAGGCGUGAGCCAAAGUGCUGGGAUUACUUGGCCUGGCCAAGUUACUGAAAUUUUUAAGAAGGGGAUGAGAAUAAAUAUCAGCUAAAAUAAAAUAAUCUAAUGAAUGGAAAUAAACAUGUUUUUGUACUGAGCUAUAGUCAAGGAGAAGAGCAUUUAUAUCACAGUUCCUUUCUAGGCACCUUGACGGCAGGGAUCAUGUUUCAUUCCAGUUGUAUUCUCCAAACCCCCACUAUGGUACCUUAAAUUAUUAGGUACCCACUAGAUGUUUGUUGAAUUUAAUUGAUUUAGCCCGUUUAACCUCAUCAUCAAGACAGAAGACCACAGUCCCCUGAUGCUGUUAUAAAUGCAGAAGGCUAGUGUGUUCCAAGUGUCAGUAUGUCUUUUUCUAGAUCAU